rnacentral:lncRNA from 1 species
CAGGAGCAUAAAUGACUGGAAGAGCGGAGAGCUGGAUGGAGUAUGGUGCAAGGAACAGGAGAAACUGCAACUGUAGCAGCAUUCCUUCCCCCCAGGAAUGUGACAAAGAUGAGCACCAUUCCAACACCUGUUGCUGAGGCACUUUCCAGGGGUCUAGCUGUGGAGGCCCCUACUCUUCUCUAGAGCAGGCACUUCAAUCUUCAGGCCAAAACUAAAAUGUCUGCAUGACCACACUGCCAGGUUGCCCAAGAUUGGCUGACUUUGUAUGCAUCCUGAUUAAAAAUGGCAUCUUGCUCUCUGGUCUGGGAAAAUGCUGUGGCUUUUCCCUGUGACUUUUCUUCA